rnacentral:lncRNA from 1 species
UGGCCAUCUGCCAUAGGAACAAAGUCCAGAUCACAGGGCCAUUGGAAACAUAAAUGCUUUGGAAGGUAGGGGCACAAUUUCAAUUCAUAUCAGAAUAGUGUAUUCCCAUCAGGUGCAUAGUGUGAGGCCUUCUCGCUGGUAUUAGUUAUUUAUUGCUGUGUAACAGAUCACUACAAACUUAACAGCUUCAAGCAACAUAUAUGUAUUAUGUGUGUCAUGUCAUGGUUCCUCUAGGUCAGGAAUCCAGGCACUGCUUAGCUAACCCCUCCACUUAGUCUUGUAAGCCUAUAACCAAGAAGUUGACUACAUUCUUGGCUGGAAGCUUGACUGGGAUUGCUUCCACAUCCCUGCUUACAUGGUGUUGAUAGCACCCAGUUCUCCAGCUGCAGCACUGCAUGCUUCAGUCAUUUGAGGACUGCUGAAGUUACAUGCUACUUGGGGUUCCUCAGUGUGGAACAGAGGGCCAGGAUGAGAAUCUUGCAAGCAUUUCUUCCUGUAACUUCCUGCGUCCUCACACCCCCACCAAAUGCCCUCCUGUGCCUUGCUUGUCUCCACUCCUGCAUUCCAGCCUUUACUGUGGGUGUGACAUCAAUGUCCAACAGAAGAAUUCAGUGCUUGUCAACUCCUCUGCAAACUGCAAGGCCUGAAGCUGGUCAGCCGCCUCUGUCAUUUUUCCAACUAGGAUGGCAGAAUCCCUCCCAGAGCUGUAAACCUCAGGUGUGACUGAGCCUCUGGUCUCCAUCUCCCAGGGCCAUCAGUGCAGAAGUGCUGGCUGUAGGAUGUAAUGACUUAGCCAGGUGAGCUUCCUGCCAUGUCAGCUUCUCACAGGAUCUUGCCUCAGAGGAAGUGUUCCCUCCUGCUUUCGGGAAACAGGCAACUGUAAAUCAGGUAAAGAUGUGACUUAUUUAUCCUUGUAAGAGUUUUAUGUGCUGGAAUUAUCGAGGGACCCAUUUGCCUGAUUCAUGACCAAUUUGUGGAGUCAUCACUUAGAGAAAGACUAACUCACCCUGCUCAGCGGGCUGGCAUGAACAGGGGUUGUGAGGCCGAGGCACCCCAUGGUGGGAGGCCUGAUUUUGCCCCUCCAUCUGCACUGACCGUUACCUUUCAGAGAGUUCAGACACAUGAUGGGAAAUCACAGAACAGUAGGAAACUCUUCCUCCUGGUGCUGUAACAGCUCUUCCCCUCCCCAGGCCACAUCCCAGUUCCUCUUCUGUAGGAAGGAAUGUUUGCUAGGACCACAGCUGCACUCUUGUGAUCCAAGACCUGGAAGGAAGGCAUUGAAGAAGGAGUUUUGACUGGACAAGGGUGAACUGCAUAAUGUUCAUAAUAAAUUAUAGCUGCUCCUUACAAGAGAAUAUUAGGCAGAUUUAAAAAAUAAUGUUUUGAAAUAAUAUUUAUGACAUUGAAAAGUGCUUAUGACAUGAAGAUGAAAGAACAGAUGUAAAACCUAUACAUAGAAUACAGAAUAUGAUCUUGAUGAUGUGAAAAAUUAAUUGAAAAUACUGUAAAAUGGUAACCAUGAUUAUCUCUGAGAUUAUGUGUGAAUUUUAUGUUUCUGUUAUAUAUAUAUGUAUGUGUAUAUAUAUAUAUAUUUUUUUUUUUGUAUAGGGGAUUGAACUCAGGACCUUGCUCUUGCAAGGCAGGCACUGGCUUCUGAGCUAAAUCCCUGGCCCUCUGUUAUAUUUUUAAGAUUUCUU